GACGAACGCUGGCGGCGUGCUUAACACAUGCAAGUCGAACGGUGAAGCGCCUUCCUUUUUGGUGGGUGUGGAUGAGUGGCGAACGGGUGAGUAACACGUGAGUAACCUGCCCCCUUCUUCUGGAUAACCGCAUGAAAGUGUGGCUAAUACGGGAUAUUCUGGGUCUGUCGCAUGAUGGGUCUGGGAAAGAUAUUGUUUCGGUGGGGGAUGGGCUCGCGGCCUAUCAGCUUGUUGGUGGGGUGAUGGCCUACCAAGGCGGUGACGGGUAGCCGGCCUGAGAGGGUGGCCGGUCACACUGGGACUGAGACCCGGCCCAGACUCCUACGGGAGGCAGCAGUGGGGAAUAUUGCACAAUGGGCGCAAGCCUGAUGCAGCGACGCCGCGUGAGGGAUGGAGGCCUUCGGGUUGUGAACCUCUUUCGCCAGUGAAGCAGGCCUGCCUCGUUUGUGGGUGGGUUGACGGUAGCUGGAUAAGAAGCGCCGGCUAACUACGUG
rnacentral:rRNA from 1 species